rfam:Schistosoma rodhaini strain Burundi genome assembly, scaffold: SROB_scaffold0001776
AUCCAGCGAACGAGUCCCAAAUAGGACGAUACGCGCGUCCUGGAU